rnacentral:tRNA from 1 species
GGAGAAUUAGCUCAGCUGGUUCAGAGCAUCUGCCUUACAAGCAGAGGGUCACUGGUUCGAACCCAGUAUUCUCCACAA